UAGGGAAUCUUCGGCAAUGGACGAAAGUCUGACCGAGCAACGCCGUGUGAGUGAAGAAGGUUUUCGGAUCGUAAAACUCUGUUGUUAGAGAAGAACAAGGACGUUAGUAACUGAACGUCCCCUGACGGUAUCUAACCAGAAAGCCACGGCUAACUACGUGCCAGCAGCCGCGGUAAUACGUAGGUGGCAAGCGUUGUCCGUGUUUAUUGGGCGUAAAGCGAGCGCAGGCGGUUUCUUAAGUCUGAUGUGAAAGCCCCCGGCUCAACCGGGGAGGGUCGUUAGGAGCUGGGAGACUUGGGUGCAGAAGGGGAGAGGGGAAUUCCAUGUGUAGCGGUGAAAUGCGUAGAUAUAUGGAGAAACGCCAGUGGCGAAGGCGGCUCUCUGGUCUGUAACUGACGCUGUGGCUCGAAAGCGUGGGGAGCAAACAGG
rnacentral:rRNA from 1 species